CAAAAACGUUCCAGCACGUGGAUGAACGCGGGAGAACAGAGUGGUUACCAGCAGCGCGUGCAGAACUACUCCCAUGAUCAGCCUAAUAAUUAAAGCUUUCCUGGAACUGCCGCCGUACUGCGUAGCAUCGGGCACAUCAGGAGCCCAUGACAUGAUACAGAGGGACAGCUUAACUAUUAAAUAUCCAUCACGCCACGCCACAUCAGUCCUAAUGCAAUCAGAAACACAUGACUACAUCGCCCGGGCCCCCACUUCCAUCCACAGUGAUUAAAUGACAGUUCGAUUUGAUUGGGAAGAGGGGGUGUCUACUGUAUCUGUGCAGACUAAUACGAGGCUGUAUACUUCAGAGAGUACGCACAUGGGCUGUGGUCUUUUUGCCGUAUUAACAUUUUAAUGAAGCAGGGUAUUUCUUUUGUGGUCGGGAGGCUUUAAUGCAGUUGUCCAAGACUCCCCUUUCAUCUGUCUUCUUCAAACGCUCCAGGUUGUUAAACAAAUGGAUGUGUCUGAGUAUAUAAUGUUGAUGUGGCCAGGCUGCUGUUGACUGGGUCAAUUAAGGCUCGGAGAGAAAAUAAUAUGGCAUGUCUGUUCGCUCACUCAAACGGUCAUGCAAUACAGUCUGGCUGCUUUGUGUUUAUUAAAAUCACCUGAAUCCUUAAGGAUUUUGCAGAACACACUAGUUCAACAUUACUUGUUCUCUUUAAGACGGUGCUGAUUUCUCAACGUGCUAAUUACUGAGCCAGCGCUGAUGUGCUAGUGACUAAAGGUGUAUUGGAGUGAUAUUGUCAGUCAUGUUCUUUUCCAUUAAAUAUGCAAAAAUAUAUAUAUAUUUUUUGAGCAAGUAUGGUGGUUACGCUUUAAAGUAUUUGAGUUUGAAUUUGAUGCAUUCCA